rnacentral:rRNA from 1 species
CUUUCCCUACACGACGCUCUUCCGAUCUCGGUCGCAAGGCUGAAACUUAAAGGAAUUGGCGGGGGAGCACCACAAGGGGUGAAGCUUGCGGUUUAAUUGGAGUCAACGCCGGAAAUCUUACCGGGGGCGACAGCAGGAUGAAAGCCAGAUUAAAGGUCUUGCCAGACGAGCUGAGAGGAGGUGCAUGGCCGUCGCCAGUUCGUGCCGUGAGGUGUUCUCUUAAGUGAGACAACGAACGAGACCCGCACCCUUAGUUGCCAUCGGAUUCCCUCGGGAUUCCAGGCACACUAAGAGGACUGCUCACGCUAAGUGAGAGGAAGGAACGGGCCACGGCAGGUCAGUAUGCCCCGAAUCUCCCGGGCCACACGCGAGCUGCAAUGGCUGGGACAAUGGGAUCCGACCUCGAGAGAGGAAGGCAAUCCCCAAACCCAGCCUCAGUUGGGAUCGAGGGCUGUAACCCGCCCUCGUGAACAUGGAAUCCCUAGUAAUCGCGUGUCAUCAUCGCGCGGUGAAUACGUCCCUGCUCCUUGCACACACCGCCCGUCGUUCCAUCCGAGCGACUUCUGGGUGAGGCGUGGUCUUUGUUGGCUGCGUCGAAUCUGAGUUUCGUAAG